UACAGAGACUGCAAGCGUUAUUCGGAUUCACUGGGCGUAAAGGGUGCGCAGGCGGCCAAGUGUGUGAGGCGUGAAAGCCUGGGGCUUAACUCCAGAAUUGCACCUCAAACUACAUGGCUAGAGCAUUGGAGAGGGUAGCAGAAUUCACGGUGUAGCAGUGAAAUUCGUAGAUAUCGGGAGGAACACCAGUGGCGAAGGCGACUACCUGGCCUGUUCUUGACGCUGAGGCGCGAAAGCUAGGGGAGCAAACGGG
rnacentral:rRNA from 1 species